rnacentral:rRNA from 1 species
UGGGGAAUUUUGGACAAUGGGCGAAAGCCUGAUCCAGCAAUGCCGCGUGUGUGAAGAAGGCCUUCGGGUUGUAAAGCACUUUUGUCCGGAAAGAAAUCCUCUGGGUUAAUACCUCGGGGGGAUGACGGUACCGGAAGAAUAAGCACCGGCUAACUACGUGCCAGCAGCCGCGGUAAUACGUAGGGUGCAAGCGUUAAUCGGAAUUACUGGGCGUAAAGCGUGCGCAGGCGGUUUUGUAAGACGGAUGUGAAAUCCCCGGGCUUAACCUGGGAACUGCAUUCGUGACUGCAAGGCUAGAGUAUGGCAGAGGGGGGUAGAAUUCCACGUGUAGCAGUGAAAUGCGUAGAGAUGUGGAGGAAUACCGAUGGCGAAGGCAGCCCCCUGGGCCAAUACUGACGCUCAUGCACGAAAGCGUGGGGAGCAAACAGGAUUAGAUACCCUGGUAGUCCACGCCCUAAAACGAUGUCAACUAGUUGUUGGGGGAUUCAUUUCCUUAGUAACGUAGCUAACGCGUGAAGUUGACCGCCUGGGGAGUACGGUCGCAAGAUUAAAACUCAAAGGAAUUGACGGGGUCAUAGCUGUUUCCU